UUAACCGCUGAUGGAACGUGCUGGCCAUGCCCACCGAGAGCAACGGAAAGAAGCAAGUGUUGGCUGGCAAGUCCGCCUUUCCCUAAUAGUCCAUCCAAGACACGCCAAAAGACUGCCAAGACUUGCCAAGACUGCCAAGGCAUAUUGAAUACAUAGGGUGAAGCAGCCUUAGUCUGGCCUCUUCAGGCUCCAAAGAGAUGAAGACUACCCUUCAACUACUCCAGGGCCUGAAGCUGCUUGGGGCCUAGAAUUCUCCAUGGCAUGUAUAAGCCACCUGGACUGCCUUUUCCCUGUCUGCCUCUUGCCCUUCUUGUGGGCCAUCCCAGGCCUCUCCAUAAAUCCAGGCUGUUCUCGUACUUACAA
rnacentral:lncRNA from 1 species